CUAAGUGAAUAGGCAGACAAGUAAUUAUGCAAUUACAAUGUGAUGUCACAAUAUUUCAUGAUUCUCUGAAGACAAUUCUAUGGGAAAUUGAAGUCUAAGAUGUCAAACAAUUGAUGCACAAACUUAAUCAAGGUAUACCAAGACCUCUGGCUUCUUCCCAGAAAGCUGCUAAAUAUCAGCAAGGACAUGGCUAGAGAUCUUGAUUCUCGCUUUUUUUGAUGUUUCUAUGAAAGAACCAAGAGAGAUUUCUUCAGCAGACAGUGUUUCCAAUGAGUGAAUUUUCUUUAAUAACUCCAAAUUCUUCAGGGAAAACUUCCACCCACACAGCAGUGAUGACUGCUGGUGCUCUGAGGGAAUUACGGCACAUAGUAAUAAAAGAUGUAUAGAAUUUCUACAUCAGCAACGUGAAGUCCAGCCCAGCACCCUAGUAUGGAGAACAGAUGGAGUUCCAGAAGGUAGAAGCCCAUACCGGAACUGGGGGCAGUGGAGGGGAUGCCAUGUGGAAAAUUGGUUGCCAAACUGAGGCCUCAGAAAUGAAUGUGAAAUAAACCUUCUCCUUCACAAAUAUUGUAGAGAGAGUAGAGCCUAUGAAGUUGGAGGAGGUUGCCACACGGAUUAUACUCAGUAGACACAAAGCAUCUCAACUUACUACAGGAAAACCACCUUUAAUGAAAGCAACCACAGUUCCCACAUUCACCUCUCCCCUUCUUUUCUUGGGUGCUUUCAUUAAUUGCAAGUAAACUUUCAAAGUCAGAGAACUAUCAGCCGUAUAGCCACCUAACGAAAUAAGACAACAAAUAAAUGUGAAUUCAUUUUAA